rnacentral:rRNA from 1 species
GCACAGCAACGGGUGGAGCGUGCGGUUUAAUUGGAUUCAACGCCGGAAAUCUCACCGGAGGCGACGGUUAUAUGAAGGCCAGGCUGAUGACCUUGCUUGAUUUUCCGAGAAGUGGUGCAUGGCCGUCGUCAGUUCGUACCGUGAGGCGUUCUGUUAAGUCAGACAACGAACGAGACCCUCAUCUUUAGUUGCUACUAGUAAGUCCGCUUAUUAGGCACACUAAAGAAACCGCUGGCGAUAAGUCAGAGGAAGGUGAGGGCAACGGUAGGUCAGUAUGCCCCGAAUCCUCCGGGCUACACGCGCGCUACAAAGGCUAGGACAAUGGGCUUCAACACCGAAAGGUGACGGUAAUCCCGAAACCUAGUCGUAGUUCGGAUUGAGGAUUGAAACUCAUCCUCAUGAAGCUGGAAUCCGUAGUAAUCGCGGGUCAACAUCCCGCGGUGAAUAUGCCCCUGCUCCUUGCACACACCGCCCGUCAAACCAUGCGAGUUGGGUCUGAGUGAGGAUGUAGUUUUUGCUACGUUCAAACUUAGGCUUAGUAAGCGGGGUU